GGUUGACCUCGGAUCAGGUAGGGAUACCCGCUGAACUUAAGCAUAUCAAUAAGCGGAGGAAAAGAAACCAACCGGGAUUGCCUCAGUAACGGCGAGUGAAGCGGCAAGAGCUCAAAUUUGAAAUCUGGCCCCUCCGGGGUCCGAAUUGUAAUUUGUAGAGGAUGCUUCGGGUGCGGCCCCUGUCUAAGUGCCCUGGAACGGGCCAUCGGAGAGGGUGAGAAUCCCGUCUGGGAUGGGGUGUCCGCGCCCAUGUGAAGCUCCUUCGACGAGUCGAGUUGUUUGGGAAUGCAGCUCUAAAUGGGUGGUAAAUUUCAUCUAAAGCUAAAUACUGGCCGGAGACCGAUAGCGCACAAGUAGAGUGAUCGAAAGAUGAAAAGCACUUUGAAAAGAGAGUUAAACAGCACGUGAAAUUGUUGAAAGGGAAGCGCUUGCGACCAGACUCGCUCCUGGGGUUCAGCCGGCUUUCGGGCCGGUGUACUUCCCCGGGGGCGGGCCAGCGUCGGUUUGGGCGGCCGGUUAAAGGCCCCUGGAAUGUAACGCCCCUCGGGGCGCCUUAUAGCCAGGGGUGUCAUGCGGCCAGCCUGGACCGAGGAACGCGCUUCGGCACGGACGCUGGCAUAAUGGUCGCAAACGACC
rnacentral:rRNA from 1 species